rnacentral:rRNA from 1 species
AGUGAACGCUGGCGGUAGGCCUAACACAUGCAAGUCGAACGGCAGCACAGUAAGAGCUUGCUCUUACGGGUGGCGAGUGGCGGACGGGUGAGGAAUACAUCGGAAUCUACUUUUUCGUGGGGGAUAACGUAGGGAAACUUACGCUAAUACCGCAUACGACCUACGGGUGAAGGCAGGGGAUCUUCGGACCUUGCGCGAUUGAAUGAGCCGAUGUCGGAUUAGCUAGUUGGCGGGGUAAAGGCCCACCAAGGCGACGAUCCGUAGCUGGUCUGAGAGGAUGAUCAGCCACACUGGAACUGAGACACGGUCCAGACUCCUACGGGAGGCAGCAGUGGGGAAUAUUGGACAAUGGGCGCAAGCCUGAUCCAGCCUUACCGCGUGGGUGAAGAAGGCCUUCGGGUUGUAAGGCCCUUUUGUUGGGAAAGAAAAGCAGCAGGUUAAUACCCCGCCGUUCUGACGGUACCCAAAGAAUAAGCACCGGCUAACUUCGUG